CCACAUUACGUUGAAAACACCGAUUCGUGUAUAAUCACUGAAGUUAAGCAACAUCGAGCUUGGUUAGUAGCUAGAUGGGUGACCACUUGGUAAUACCAGGUGUUGU
rnacentral:rRNA from 1 species